rnacentral:rRNA from 1 species
AUUGAACGCUGGCGGCAGGCCUAACACAUGCAAGUCGAACGAGUGGCGGACGGGUGAGUAAUGGCUGGGAAACUGACUGAUGGAGGGAGAUAACUACUGGAAACGGUAGCUAAUACCGCAUACACUCGGAUGUGCCCAGAGGGGAGUGGAUAGUCGGUGGGGUAAAGGCUCACCUAGGCGACGAGCCCUAGCUGGGCUGAGAGGAUGAGCAGCCACACUGGAACUGAGACACGGUCCAGACUCCUACGGGAGGCAGCAGUGGGGAAUAUUGCACAAUGGGCGCAAGCCUGAUGCAGCCAUGCCGCGUGUAUGAAGAAGGCCUUCGGGUUGUAAAGUACUUUCAGCGGGGAGGCGUUACCCGCAGAAGAAGCACCGGCUAACUCCGUGCCAGAAGCCGCGGUAAUAC